rnacentral:rRNA from 1 species
UACGUAGGGGGCAAGCGUUGUCCGGAUUUAUUGGGCGUAAAGAGCGUGUAGGCGGCCCAGGUAGGUCAGCUGUGAAAACUCGAGGCUCAACCUCGAGACGUCGGUUGAAACCACCUGGCUAGAGUCCGGAAGAGGAGAGUGGAAUUCCCGGUGUAGCGGUGAAAUGCGCAGAUAUCGGGAAGAACACCCGUGGCGAAGGCGGCUCUCUGGGACGGUACUGACGCUGAGACGCGAAAGCGUGGGG